rnacentral:tRNA from 2 species
ACGGAUGUGGUGAAAAGGUAGACACGUUAUAUUUAGGAUAUAAUGGUAUUAUACUAUGUGGGUUCAAAUCCCACCAUCCGUA